GUGUCAGCAGCCGCGGUAAUACGUAGGGGGCGAGCGUUAUCCGGAUUUACUGGGCGUAAAGCGCGUUAAGGCGGCCGGCAAAGUUGGUGGUGAAAUUUCAGGGCUCAACUCUGAAACUGCCUCCAAUACUGGUCGGCUCGAGUGCGAGAGAGGAAGGUGGAAUUCCCGGUGUAGUAGUGAAAUGCGUAGAUAUCGGGAGGAACACCAGUGGCGAAGGCGGCCUUCUGGCUCGCAACUGACGCUGUAGCGCGAAAGCGUGGGGAGCGAACGGGAUUAGAUACCCCAGUAGUCC
rnacentral:rRNA from 1 species